ACAUCCAAGGCAUCGUUUGCCCAUGUGACACUUUAGGCAAAUCAAAUAAACAGCUUCGAAAUGACUUCCGAAACCUUGUCGAAAUGGAGUUCCAGCAAUAUGGGACUGGCCUGCACCCAUGCGAUCAGUGGCUUUGGUUACGGAGUGGCUCUAGCCUGUGGAAGGAACACUGAAGCGGGCUCGAUGACGGCGCUCAGCUUCAAGGAGCGAUCUCCUAGUCGUUGGGAGAAGCAUCUGAAGCAAAUUACUUACUAUCUGCUCCUGGUGGCUGCAGUUUGUUUCCUCCUGCUGUUCUUGAGCACCGGAUUCGAGCAUGGCCAGACUGUGUAUGAAGUCAAUCUCUCACUGCUGCUGGGUCUGACGCCCUUGUACCUGCCCUUCAUCCUUUACUGGGGCUUGCGGAGGACGAAGGUGGACAUGAGGCGAAAGCAGUGCCAUGUGAGGAACCUACGGGGUACUUCCACACUGGGACUCUCAACAGUGAUUGUGUCCGAUUUGGUUGGGACGAUGACCAAGCGGCGCAUGCGGGUAUCGGAGAUCUUCGUGGACAUGGCGCUGCUGAGUGUCGAUAAUCUGGGCGUAAGUGCUCAGAGUCCCCGAUUUAUAGAGCUGAUCCAGGCAUCAGUUCUCUGCAACGAUGCGGUCAUUUGUCCGGGCAACAUUGGAGUGCCCAAGAUGCAGAAAGACAUGUACGGCAAUAUCCUGGACAUAGCGCUGCUCAAGUUCGGCCUGAUGAUCCUGCCGAACAUUGAUGUGCUGCGUCAAGACCACGAGAAGGUGGCCAACAAGCACUACACCAGUGAGGACAAGGUCCAGGUGACGGUGCACAGGACUCGCGACGCCGAUGGCCAGCUGAAGCUUAUCCUGCUGAUGAAGGGCCACUGCGACGUGGUGAUCCGCCGUUGCUCCACCUUAGCCAUUCGCGACGAGGAGCUGCCCCUGGACGAGCAGCUGCAGGAAAUAAUUUUCAGUCUGGCGGAUGGACUACUCGAGGCAGGCCGCCAUGUCCGCGCCUUCGCCUACAAGGAAUUGAGUGACGAGCUGGAGUUUCGCCGCUUCUCCCAGGUGAACACCGGAUUGGAGGGCGGGGAGUACAAGUACCGCGAUUACCUGGCGGUGGACACCUACUCGCUGAGGUUUCUGGGCAUGAUUGCCACCUACAAUCCACCGCGGAGCACCAUUUCCAAAGCGGUGGAUCGCUGCCGAGCGGCGGGCAUCAAGUUGAUCGUGGUCACCCAGCGCAAACCCAAAAUGGCCAAGGCUCUGGCCCUCGAUGUGGGCAUCCUGCCGGCUGCGUCGGACACUUUUCAGGCUCCCACCAAGCGGAUGCCAUACGUCGCGGAUGUGGUGGACAUGUCGCUGUACGCGGACGAGAAGCCGCAGCACCAGCGUCGCCACAUCGAGCAGCUGCUCCUGAACCAUCGGGAUUUGGUGUGUGCCGGUACGAGCACGGAUCAACUUCACUGGAUUGCGGAUGCGUGUCGCCGGUUGGGAGCCGUGGUCUCUGUCAUUGGGGGAACACUCCAUGACACACCCGCCAUGAGGAGCAGCCAUGUGGGCGUGGCCCGGUACGGAUGUGCGGUGAUGUGCGAGGCCAGCGCAGAUCUCAUCCUGCUGGACAGCUCCUUUGCCACAUUGGUCAAUGUGGUCGGCGAUAGCCGUCUGCUGUUCGAGAAUCUGAAGAAGGCUCUGGCCUAUUGCCUGGCCACCAACACAUGCAAUUUACUGGUGUACUGCUCCUUCUUCCUGCUCGGCAUUCCCCUGCACAUCCACAUCAUGGAUGAGCUCAUACUCGGCAUCCUGGUCAACUUGGUCCCCGCCUUGACCCUGAUUUAUGAGGCCCCGGAGGAGAAUCUGAUGCAGCAGAUGCCCAAAGUGUACGACGAUUUUCUGCUUAAUAGUCGACUUUUCUUUGUGUCCCACAUCCUUGUGGGAACCAUCGAAGCUGCAGCUGUUUUUAUGACCUACUUUGUGUUCAUGGCGGACAAGGGAUUCCUGCCGAGGACACUGGUGGAUCUGCACAUCGCGUGGAACGACGACAUGCUCGACGACAUCACCGACUCUUUCGGCCAGGAGUGGAGCAGUGAGGCGCGCCAGCAGCUGGAGUGCCAAGUGUCCUCCCUUUGCCUGAUGGCCAUCACCGCGAUGCAGUGCACCAACCUGGUGCUGACCAAGACCGGACGUGCCAAUCCGCUGACCCACGGCUUCCGCAACUGGCGGCUCCUUCUGGCGGUCCUCUAUUUGAUCCUGAUAUGCGUGCUGUUGUGCAUCAUGGACUCCACGGUGUGCCUGCGCCUGGAGGGCACCAACGAGCUGCACUUUGGCCACUUUCUCUGGACCAACUGGCCGUUCAUGGUGCUGCUGGUCCUGCUCGAAAGCACUCGCAGAUACUUUCUUCGCCUCUUUCCCGACAGUUGGCUGGAGCUGGUUACUAUGUACUGAGCACACAAUAAUUGCACUUGGAAAGCAAAUACUACCAGUAAGUGAUACCUAUAAUUGAAGCACUAGACAGGAGAAAUAUGAGUGUUAUUAAAUGAAACUGCUUCUGGUUUCAUGUGUACAAACGAAAGGAUUUGCUCUUCCUUAAGGACGCAUUAAAUUCAUUGCCCCAUAUCUUUCUUACCUGAGCUACUCUGUGCACCGUAAAAAGCAGCACAUAAAACCCAGUCGCGGUGUGGAAUCCUCUGGAUGAAACCGAAUCCCCGGGACUAUAAGUUUUAAGGGACAUAGAUUGCCGAGAGUGCAUUUCCGUAUUAUUUUUUAUGGAAACAGGGGGCAUAAACUUCAGGAGCACUGCACUUUCCCCUUUGAGCGAUCGCUGCUCUUUCGAUGUUCUGAAACAUUCUGUUCUGAAACUGAAACCGAACUAUCAUAUCUAUCAGCUGUGGCUUUGGAUCCAAAGGGGACUCAAAUUGGAUUGGA